AUUGAACGCUAGCGGCAUGCUUUACACAUGCAAGUCGAACGAGUGGCGGACGGGUGAGUAAUAUAUCGGAACGUGCCCAGUAGCGGGGGAUACCUACUCGAACGAGUGGCUAAUCCCGCAUACUAUUGGAGCGACCGAUAUCGGAUUAGCUAGUUGGUGGGGUAAAGGCUCACCAAGGCAACGAUCCCUAGCUGGUUUGAGAGGACGACCAGCCACACGGGGACUGAGACACGGCCCAGACUCCUACGGGAGGCAGCAGUGGGGAAUUUGGGACAAUGGGGGAAACCCUGAUGCAGCCAUCCCGCGUGUAUGAGAAGGCCUUCGGGUUGUAAAGUACUUUUGGCAGGGAGGCGGUACCUGCAGAAUAAGCACCGGCUAACUACGUGCCAGCCGCCGCGGUAAUUC
rnacentral:rRNA from 1 species